rnacentral:misc_RNA from 1 species
GAUGAAGAACGUAGCGAAAUGCGAUAAGUAAUGUGAAUUGCAGAAUUCAGUGAAUCAUCGAAUCUUUGAACGCACCUUGCGCUCCUUGGUAUUCCGAGGAGCAUGCCUGUUUGAGUGUCAUUAAUAUAUCAACCUUCUCUUUUUUGAGUUGUUUGGAUGUGGGGGUUUGCUGGCCUCUUAAAUGAUUCAGCUCCCCUGAAAUGCAUUAGCAGAACAACCUGUUCAUUGGCGUGAUAAUUAUCUGUGCUAUUGAAUGUGAGGGCAGUUCAGCUUUCUAACCGUCCUUGGACAAUUCAUCAUUAAUGUGACCUCAAAUCAGGUAGGACUACCCGCUGAACUUAAGCAUAUCAAUAAGCGGAGGA